UCCCUCCCAGUUUGAUCCCAGUCCCUCCCAGUUUGUCCCAGUAUAAACCAGCAUGGCCCAAAUCCCCUCCCAGUUUAUCCCAUUUCCCUCCCAGUCCCUCCCAGUCCCUCCCAGUAUAAACCAGUAACCCCAAAUCCACUCCCAGUCCAUCCCAGUCCCUCCCAGUUUAUCCCAGUCCCUCCCAGUUCAUUCCAGCGAUCUCCCAGUAUUAACCAGUAAGGCCCAGUCUCCCCUUUGUUCCCUUCCAGUGCCUCCCAGUAUAAACCAGUAACCCCAAACCCCAUCCCAGUAUGAACCAGUAACCCCAAACCCCUCCCAGUACAAACCAGUAACCCCAAAGUCCGUCCCAGUUUGAUCCCAGUCCUUCCCAGUUCCUCCCAGUAUAAACCAGUAUGGCCCAAAUCCCCUCCCAGUCCAUCCCAGUCUGUCCCAGUCCCUCCCAGUUUGAUCCCAGUCCCUCCCAGUAUAAACCAGUAACCCCAAAUCCCCUCCCAGUUUGAUCCCAGUCCCUCCCAGUAUAAACCAGUAACCCCAAAUCCCCUCCCAGUUUGAUCCCAGUCCCUCCCAGUUUGAUCCCAGUCCCUCUCAGUUUGAUCCCAGUCCCUCCCAGUUCAUUCCAGCGAUCUCCCAGUAUAAACCAGUACGGCCCAGUCUCCCCUUUGUUCCCUUCCAGUGCCUCCCAGUAUAAACCAGUAACCCCAAACCCACUCCCAGUUUGAUCCCAGUCCCUCCCAGUUUAUCCCAGUCCCUCCCACUUCAUUCCAGCGAUCUCCCAGUAUAAACCAGUAAGGCCCAGUCUCCCCUUUGUUCCCUUCCAGUCCCUCCCAGUACAAACCAGUAACCCCAAAUCCCCUCCCAGUUUAUCCCAGUCCCUCCCAGUUUGAUCCCAGUCCCUUCCAGUUUAUCCCAGUCCCUCCCAGUUUAUCCCAGUCCCUCCCAGUUCAUUGCAGUGAUCUCCCAGUAUAAACCAGUAAGGCCCAGUCUCCCCUUUGUUCCCUUCCAGUCCCUCCCAGUAUAAACCAGUAACCCCAAACCCCAUCCCAGUAUAAACCAGUAACCCCAAACCCCAUCCCAGUAUGAACCAGUAACCCCAAAGUCCAUCCCAGUUUGAUCCCAGUCCCUCCCAGUUCCUCCCAGUAUAAACCAGUAACCCCAAAUCCCCUCCCAGUCCCUCCCAGUUUGAUCCCAUUUCCCUCCCAGUCCCUCCCAGUCCCUCCCAGUAUAAACCAGUAACCCCAAAUCCGCUCCCAGUUUGAUCCCAGUCCCUCCCAGUCCAUCCCAGUUCCCUCCCAGUUUAUCCCAGUCCCUCCCAGUUUGAUCCCAGUCCCUCCCAGUUUGAUCCCAGUCCAUCCCAGUCCCUCCCAGUUCAUCCCAGUAACUCCCAGUUUGAUCCCAGUCCCUCCCAGUUUAUCCCAGUCCCUCCCAGUUUGAUCCCAGUCCAUCCCAGUCCCUCCCAGUUCAUCCCAGUAACUCCCAGUUUGAUCCCAGUCCCUCCCAGUUUAUCCCAGUCCCUCCCAGUUUGAUCGCAGUCCCUCCCAGUUUGAUCCCAGUCCCUUCCAGUCCCUUCCAGUCCCUCCCAGUCCAUCCCAGUCCCUCCCAGUCCCUCCCAGUUGGAUCCCCUCAGGAGUACGGUGCGCGUUUCCGCCGCUCCCUCCGGAACCUUUACCUGGAAUUUUUGUUCCGCCUGGAGAGCGCCCUGCCCCCCCCCCGACCUGCAGCAGCUGGAGCAGCUCUGUCUUAGCCACGCCCCUCCGGGCUCUAAGCCACGCCCCCUCCCGCGUUUGCAGCGUUAUUUCGCCGAGGUUCGCCGCGCCCAACCAGUGCCUUCACCGCGCCCACUUCCGGCUAAAAAGACCACGCCCCUG